GAUGAACGCUGGCUACAGGCUUAACACAUGCAAGUCGAGGGGAAACGCCGGGGAAGCUUGCUUCCCCGGGCGUCGACCGGCGCACGGGUGAGUAACGCGUAUCCAACCUGCCUCUGACUGAGGGAUAACCCGUCGAAAGUCGGCCUAAUACCUCAUGGUAUCAUCUGCGGGCAUCCAACGACGAUUAAAGAUUUCAUCGGUCAGGGAUGGGGAUGCGUCUGAUUAGCUUGUUGGCGGGGUAACGUCCCACCAAGGCUACGAUCAGUAGGGGUUCUGAGAGGAAGGUCCCCCACAUUGGAACUGAGACACGGACCAAACUCCUACGGGAGGCAGCAGUGAGGAAUAUUGGUCAAUGGGCGAGAGCCUGAACCAGCCAAGUAGCGUGCAGGAAGACGGCCCUAUGGGUUGUAAACUGCUGUUAUGCGGGGAUAAAGUGAGGGACGUGUCCCUCAUUGCAGGUACCGCAUGAAUAAGGACCGGCUAAUUCCGUG
rnacentral:rRNA from 1 species